AUUGAACGCUGGCGGCAGGCCUAACACAUGCAAGUCGAGCGGAUGAAGGGAGCUUGCUCCUGGAUUCAGCGGCGGACGGGUGAGUAAUGCCUAGGAAUCUGCCUGGUAGUGGGGGAUAACGUCCGGAAACGGGCGCUAAUACCGCAUACGUCCUGAGGGAGAAAGUGGGGGAUCUUCGGACCUCACGCUAUCAGAUGAGCCUAGGUCGGAUUAGCUAGUUGGUGGGGUAAGGGCCUACCAAGCCGACGAUCCGUAACUGGUCUGAGAGGAUGAUCAGUCACACUGGAACUGAGACACGGUCCAGGCUCCUACGGGAGGGAGCAGUGGGGAAUGUUGGACAAUGGGCGAAAGCCUGAUCCAGCCAUGCCGCGUGUGUGAAGAAGGUCUUCGGAUUGUAAAGCACUUUAAGUUGGGAGGAAGGGCAGUAAGUUAAUACCUUGCUGUUUUGACGUUACCAACAGAAUAAGCACCGGCUAACUUCGUG
rnacentral:rRNA from 1 species